rnacentral:misc_RNA from 1 species
GAUGAUAUAAUUAAUAAACUUGGCUAAAAAUGAGAAGAACAAAGUUUUAAAUUUUCUGGAUCAUUUGCACAUUCAAUAUAUAUCAAUCACUAAAAUGAUCUAUUCUAAGGAACAAGGUUGGAAUUCCACAUAGAAAAUUUCUCUUUCAAACAGGUACACAUUCAGUCUCUCGAAGAUUAGAAGAUGAGGUGUGAGUAGAAGUACCUCAAGAAAAUAAAAAUUUUAACAAAGGAUUAAAAAGUGAAACAUAGUAACAAAAGAGGGUAAAAAUCUCAAAAUCUACUUGAUAACCAUUGUUACUUCUAUUCCAACAUAAUAACUUCAAACGUAGUAAAUGUUAAAUGUAACCAUGUAAAAAAAUAUAAUUCUCAACUUAAUUUUCCAUUUCAGAUUACAUAUAAUUGAUGAUCUAUUUUGCCUUUCAGACUACACAGAACGGUAAUGAGCUGUUUCUCAAAUCUUAUGCUUUGCCUCUAAAACUGUGA